AUUACCUAGAGCCAACACAGAUCUAUAGAUUUCUUCGAACUCGGAAUCUCAUAGCACCAAUAUUUUUGCACAGAACUCUUACUUACAUGUCUCAUCGAAACUCCAGAACAAACAUCAAAAGGAAAACAUUUAAAGUUGAUGAUAUGUUAUCAAAAGUAGAGAAAAUGAAAGGAGAGCAAGAAUCUCAUAGGUAAGCCAUCACCAAACUCAGAAAAUGAACAAAAUUCUGUUACCCUGGAAGUCCUGCUUGUGAAAGUUUGCCACAAAAAAAGAAAAGGAUGUAAGUUGUCCAAUAAGGCAAGUUCCCACAGGUAAAAAGCAGGUGCCUUUGAAUCCUGACCUCAAUCAAACAAAACCUGGAAAUUUCCCGUCCCUUGCAGUUUCCAGUAAUGAAUUUGAACCUAGUAACAGUCAUAUGGUGAAGUCUUACUCGUUGCUAUUUAGAGUGACUCGUCCAGGAAGAAGAGAGUUUAAUGGAAUGAUUAAUGGAGAAACCAUGAAAAUAUUGAUGUCAAUGAAGAGCUUCCAGCCAGAAGAAAACGAAAUCGUGAGGAUGGGGAAAAGACAUUUGUUGCACAAAUGACAGUAUUUGAUAAAAACAGGUAAUGUUGAUGAACAAGCGAGGCUCCCACAAUGUUCUGGAAAUGUUUU
rnacentral:lncRNA from 1 species